AAAAAUUUGGAACCAAUAAGUGAAUGAGGUAGAUAGACUAAAAAAAAACGCAAUCUGAAUACAAAAAAAUAAAACAAAACGCAAUAUCUCUCUCGACCCAAAUCAACUCGCGAUGAACAAACCCUCAGCGCCGUCCUCUACCGCCGACAACGAUUGAACCCUCAGCAACCUAAAAUCAACUCACCACCACCGCCUUAUCUCAGUUGUCCUCUCUCUCUCUCACUCGUCAAAUCGAAGCUUCUCACUUGAACCCUAACUCCAAAUCGAAUCUACAAGGGAAACGAAUUGAAACUUCUCUCCGCUCUCACUAUUGUCCUCCUUUCUCCGGCCUCUACUCUCACGAAUCGAAGCUUGUCUUUCUCUUUCACUAUUGUCAAACCUUCAUCGAUUCAGAAGUUCAGCCAUGGAGUGGAGUUUGUUCUUUUGUUAUCAUUUAAUGCGGGUGCCUUAGAUAACCAAGUGGAACAUGCAUUGGUGUCUCUAGCAACGGUGAUGCUGGAAUCUCCUUCCUUGAUUGUACAAUGUACACAAGAUAUGCACAAACUACGCCUUGUCAACACCUGACCUGAAGCCAGAAUGCAGGCAUAGCAAGGGAUCAGAAAAUAUUUCAAACGGGGUUCAUAACUAAGAUGGCCAAGGAGCUAUUUCAAGGGAGAGCAUACAUGCAUUGGAGAAGCUUAGUCAUCUAAACUAGGUUAUCGGAAGACCUAAGGUUGAGUUAAUGUUUGAGGCUCAAAAGCUACCAACAGAAGAAGAAAUAAUAGAAGAGUUCACAUAUCCGUUGCUUAACUAAAAGUAAUAGGUAACUUAUUGCAAGAGUGAUUGUUUAUACUUCCAGUUACCAUGACAUUGUUCCUCUUUGUAUAUGUUCCUUAGUCGACUCUAAAUAGUUUUAAAUGAAUUUUCAUUUGGAAUUUGUAUGUUGCAGUCGAAUUGGCUUCUAGUGGGUUUGUUUCUAAUUUUGUAUGCUUGUAGUAAAUGUCUAAGGUUUGUAGAAGGAAUAAUUGUUUCUAAGUGAGUAAGAUUUAUACAAGAUUUUAUUUUUUUAGAUUAUUCCCUUGAAAUUCUUUUAUUAAUGUGUUGAUGGAUUUAUUUGGUCUUGAUUGUUGGUGAACUUUAAGCUUGGUUAUAGAAGGAAAACUUAAUUAAUGAACACAUAUGUUUUAAAUGACUAAUGUUAUACAAGGAUGCCUCGUAUAAUGGGUUCAGCUUCCAAAAAAAAAA